GAUGAAGAACGCAGCGAACUGCAAUAAGUAAUGUGAAUUGCAGAAUUCAGUGAAUCAUCGAGUCUUUGAACGCACAUUGCGCCCCCUGGCAUUCCGGGGGGCAUGCCUGUCCGAGCGUCAUUGCUGCCCUUCAAGCCCGGCUUGUGUGUUGGGUCGUCGUCCCCCCCGGGGGACGGGCCCGAAAGGCAGCGGCGGCACCGCGUCCGGUCCUCGAGCGUAUGGGGCUUUGUCACCCGCUCGAUUAGGGCCGGCCGGGCGCCAGCCGGCGUCUCCAACCUUCUAUUUUACCAGGUUGACCUCGGAUCAGGUAGGGAUACCCGCUGAACUUAAGCAUAUCAAUAAGCGGAGGA
rnacentral:misc_RNA from 1 species